GACGAACGCUGGCGGCGUGCUUAACACAUGCAAGUCGAACGAUGAAGCUAGAGCUUGCUCUGGUGAAUUAGUGGCGAACGGGUGAGUAACACGUGAGUAACCUGCCCCGAACUCUGGGAUAACUGCUGGAAACGGUAGCUAAUACUGGAUACGACUACGAAGGCAUCUUCUGUAGGUGGAAAGAAUUUCGGUUCGGGAUGGACUCGCGGCCUAUCAGCUUGUUGGUGAGGUAAUGGCUCACCAAGGCGACGACGGGUAGCCGGCCUGAGAGGGUGACCGGGCAGACGGGGACUGAGACACGGCCCAGAGUGCUACGGGAGGCAGGAGUGGGGAAUAUUGCACAGUGGGCGCAAGCCUGAUGCAGCGACGCCGCGUGAGGGAUGACGGCCUUCGGGUUGUAAACCUCUUUUAGUAGGGAAGAAGCGAAAGUGACGGUACCUGCAGAAAAAGCACCGGCUAACUACGUGCCAGCCGCCGCGGUAA
rnacentral:rRNA from 1 species